UACGUAGGGGGCAAGCGUUGUCCGGAUUUAUUGGGCGUAAAGAGCGUGUAGGCGGCCAGGUAGGUCAGCUGUGAAAACUCGAGGCUCAACCUCGAGACGUCGGUUGAAACCACCUGGCUAGAGUCCGGAAGAGGAGAGUGGAAUUCCUGGUGUAGCGGUGAAAUGCGCAGAUAUCAGGAGGAACACCGGUGGCGAAGGCGGGUCUCUGGGCCGAAACUGACGCUGAGGAGCGAAAGCGUGGGGAGCGAACAGG
rnacentral:rRNA from 1 species